UGAGUAACCUGCCCUUCACUCUGGGAUACCUCCGGGGAAACCGGGGCUAAUACUGGAUAUGACUCGAACAGGCAUCUGUUUCGGGUGGAAAGAUUUAUUGGUGGAGGAUGGACUCGCGGCCUAUCAGCUAGUUGGUGAGGUAACGGCUCACCAAGGCGAUGAUCGGUAACUGGUCUGAGAGGACGACCAGUCACACUGGGACUGAGACACGGCCCAGACCUCCUACGGGAGG
rnacentral:rRNA from 1 species